rnacentral:lncRNA from 1 species
AAGAAAAAAUUUGAAAAAACGUUUGGCAGUCAACUUAACUACGUCUGCAAUGAGGAAAACCUGAGGAUCAGAGACAGGAAAAAGGAUGGAAGUGACACUUAUUAGGAGCACUAUGUAUGGAAUGGGAUUCCCUCCAUUGAAAUUCAUAUGAAAGACACUGAAACUGAACAUCUUUGAACUCUAAUUCUUCUAGGUUUAGUAGCCAUGGAGUAUCACAUAUAAAAGGAGGGCUCGAGCAAAGAGAGAUAGGAACUUCAUCCCUCAG